GGGGAAUGGGAGCAUUUCUAAAUGACUUGAAGCUCUGUCACGGCAUAAUCUCUUAUAAAUAAAUGUCAGUGUAGUCACUGAAUGCAGACUGGAUUUUUGCCUGACUACGGUGCUCAGCCUUCUAGACAAUAGUUAUGCUAAGGGAUUAUCUUUUAACAUUGUGCAGUUAUCUCCUUUGUUUGUUUUCUUUUUUCAUUAUUCACAUAAGCCAAGGGAAAUGAAAAGCAUCUUAUUUCAGGCAAAAAGGCCUGUGAAUGAUUAACUCUGGUUCCAUGCGUUGGGACUUUGCAUAGCAACCCCGUGGCUUGCAACGACAAAAAAGCUCAAGGCAGGAACAGCAGCCCAGGGACCUGAGACCAGCGUUCUCAAAUGAAGGUGCCAGAUCUGCUGUUAGAGGAGAAUUCUUCUGUCCUAGCUGUGUCUCUGUGAUCUGUGGAUGAGGGUGGGAAAGCACCACUCAGUCAAUUGGGGUGUACAAAAUGGAGUUUGAGAAGGUCUCACAUCCAGGUUGUUUUGAAGCAAAGUCCAAGCAUUGUAUCACUUCAUCUGCAAAUAUUUCAAUAAGUACCCAAAAGGUCCAGAUUGACUGCAAGAACAAAUCAGCAAUCCUGAGAGGACCCACAGGCCCUCUGAAGGAAGCAGACUACUCCUGCAGGACCUGGGAGAUACCCUGAAUACUUGGUUGGACUGAGUCCCAUGAAGCCAGAUCACUUCUGACUGCAAGGAGCUUGGAAAAGCAAGUAUCUGGAUCUUUUACCAGCUAAAUUUGGAGCGAUGAGGCUUCCUCUUUGAAGAUCACAGGUGAGAAGAUUAGGUGCUUUCUCAGAAGCCCAGCAACCUGAUGGGAGUGUGGAGUGAGCAAGACCCAAAUCGGAGCUUCAUCCCUGCAUGGUUCAUUUUGCUUAUUUGGCAAACUUGCCCUGCAGAAUCUACUCAAGCUUCCUCAGUUUCUCAAAUCAUUCUUGGGCAACAAAUGAACAAGAAAGAGGACGUCUUAUUAUCUGGUGUCUGGCUUGCUGAUUUAAUAACCUAGGAGACAGUGUUUGAAGAACACAAACUCUAAAGUCCUUCACUUAAAAAAAAAAAAAAACUUUCCCAAAUUGCUUACCAUUUGGAAAAAUUGCCUUACCUUCUUCAGUCAUCUCUGAUGUUGUCAUCCUCAGAGUAAGAAGUACGCAUUCAUAAGGAACCAUAACGUCCUUCAGGAAAUCCAGUACACCCUACAAUUUUACCUAAAACUUUGAUGUUGUUUUUUCUGAGCAUUUUACCUUCUAGGGAAAUGGAUCUCAUGCUGUUUAUCAGUUUCUGAAAGUUGUUAUUAAUCUCCCCUCAUCCCAAAAUUGAAGAACUUUGCUUAAAUCUUAGAAUCAGAACUUUGGCUCCAGUAAUAAAGACUUUUCAAUAUCUUUAUCUGCCAUUGAGUCUUACCUAACGAAAUAAAGCCUCCAAAGUGGGAA
rnacentral:lncRNA from 1 species